CUCCAAGACAACAGAGAGAUCUAAGCAGCGUACAUUCUAUAACAUGUCUUGUUUCAGGACUGCGUUACUCAAGCAAGUGACAGAGGGGUCGUUUGGGGGGAAAUCUUCUUUGAACUGCUGGCUGGUAAGAACACCUGGCUGGGUGCAUGGCAGGAACUCUGGCUUAGCUGUUAAUGCUGCGCAUAGCAAAGGGAUCUGAACUCAAGGGCAGUCCCAAAGCUUUUAAGAAUGUGCGACAAACAUAGCACACCUACUGUGAUGAAUGAAUAAGCAGAGUCUUUUCUCUGCCUCUGUGCUAGAGGUCAGGAUUUAUGCCCUAUUCUUCAUGAGUUUUUCUUCAAUUACAGUCAUAUCUUGGAUGUUGAACAGAAUCAGUUCCGGAAGUCCGUUUGACUUCCAAAACAUCCAGAAACCAAAGCACGGCAGCCAAUCAGAAGUCGCUUCUGAAAAUCGUUCGAAAACCAGAACACUCACUUCCGGGUUUCAAUCAUUCAGGAGAUGAUUUGUUCAGGAGCCAAGGCAUUUGAGAUCCAAGGUACGACUGUAUAGGAUGCUACCUGUCAUGAUCUAGAAACAUAGGUAAAGGUAAAGGGACCCCUGACCAUUAGGUCCAGUCAUGACCGACUCUGGGGUUGCGGCGCUCAUCUCGCUUUAUUGGCCGAGGGAGCCGGCGUACAGCUUCCAGGUCAUGUGGCCAGCAUGACUAAGCCGCUUCUGGCGAACCAGAGCAGCACACGGAAACACCGUUUACCUUCCUGCUGGAGUGGUACCUAUUUAUCUACUUGCACUAGAUGUGCUUUCGAACUGCUAGGUUGGCAGGAGCUGGGACCGAGCAACGGGCGCUCACCCCGUCGCGGGGAUUCGAACCACCGACCAUCUGAUUGGCAAGCCCUAGGCUCUGUGGUUUAACCCACAGCGCCACCCAAGUCCCCAAAAUCUAGAAACAUACUCUAUAUUUAAUAUUUGUUCCAUCUGAUUUCUAUUUUAAUUAGAGUUGAAGCCUAGCCUUGUCAUGGGCAAAGCUAAAUACCAGUAACAGAGUUGGUAUUAUAUUUCAUUUAUUGGUCGCUGUUAUUAUUAGGAAAUUGCAUUGUACUGAGUCAGACCGUUGAUCCACCUAGCUCAGUACGGUCUACCCUGACUAGCAGGAUAUUUAGGAUAUCAGACAGAGGCCUCUCCCAGUCCCACGUGGAGAUGUUAGGGAUUGAACCUUGGACCUUCUUCAUGCAAGCAGAGGGUGUGACCCUUAUAAAAUGUACCGAGAGCUGUGCACAUAUUAAAAACAUGGCAAGUUCUGCCUACAAUUGAAAAGAAAAUGCACGAAAGAAAAACCAGAUGGGGAGGGAAGAGGAAAACACACAGACUCUGCCACCAUUUCCUAAAGUUACAUAGACUGCAAUCCUAUACACAUUUAUCUGGAAAUAAGUCCAUUGAACUCAAAUAGGAUCUCCUUCUGAAUAGAUACACAUAGGCCUGUGUUCAUAGUGGAUCUUAUAAUGACUAGGUUACAUGGAGACACUUCAGGAACAAACACUUGGGUUUUGGUUUGUGAACAAGAAGAGCUCCAUUAUUUUCUGUUUUGCCCUUUGCGCAUGUUUCUUAUUGAUGGAAUUUCUCCAUUAGUGAGCAGUAACUUUUAAAUGUCUUCCUUUGAAAAUCCGUGUGGAACAGCAGCCCAUUCUGUUCUUGAACUUACCACUUGUUUUGCUUGGGACUUGUAUGAUUAUGUAACUGGGUAUGAAAAUGUGGGCUCAUACAUGACAAAAUACCAUUGGUGGGAAGAGAAUGGCUCUAUAAACACACCCAGUGUAGUUAUUUUCUGCCCUCGCUGGAGGCAGUACAAGAAUGAUAAUCCCUUCUGUGGUCGUGCUUAUUUUAUUCCAGGGUGGGAGCAAAUUCAUAGUGUUCCAGUGGCAUGAUUAGAGGAAUGGGCUGAAGCUUAGUGGCAGAGUGCAUGUUUUGCAUGCAAAGUCUUGGAUUCAGUCAUUGGAAGCUGUACUCAGGAAGCCAGGAUGGAAAAUAGAUCUGCAUCAGAUAAUGGAGAUUUGUUGCCAGGCAGGUCAAACCAUAGUAUUUUUAUUUAUAUUUUACUUGCUCAUCCGCAAAAAGAGCUGUGUGACUGAUGGGAUGUGUUUGCAUCUAGCACACUGUUAGAAUGUUGUGGUUCAUUAUUUAGCUGCUGAAUUUCAGCAACCUCAGAAAAGAAGCUUGGAAAAAAUAGAAUUUUAACUUUCAGGAUAUUAUGACUUGCAUGAUAUGCUUUGAUUAGUCAUACUGUGAACACUUAACACCCUUAUAUAUAUUUUCCGAGGUGAAGGAAAACACAAUGAAGCAGUAAGUAAAAGGAUCCUGUCCUUACUGAUGCAUCUUGAACUCUGCCCCCACAGCCCUCCACCUUCUUGGCAAUGUAUGGCAAACCUGUUGACCUGCAGAUGUAGCUGGACUAAAGCAUCCAUCAUCUCCAACCAUUGGCCAUGAUGGGUGGACCUAUCUGGAAGUCAUAGUCUUUCAUGUGGGAGGUCUUCUGCAAAAGGCUGUAGCUCAUUGGUAGAAUAUAUAAUAAUAAUAAUAAUAAAAAUAAUAAUAAUAAAUUAUUUAUAUCCCGCCCUCCCCAGCAUAAGCCGGGCUCAGGGCGGCUAACAACAAUACAACAGUACAACAGUACAACACAACACAACACUCUAAAAUCAUUCAUUAUAAAAUUAAUUCAAAUCAAACCAAUGGCAACCAUUGGGCCAGAGCUCCGUGAAGAUUGCCGAAGGAGGGAGUCAGGCUGUGCCCUGGCCAAAGGCCUGGUGGAACAGCUCUGUCUUGCAGGCCCUGUGGAAAGAUGUCAAGUCUACUUUACAUGCAGGAGGUUCUAGGUUUCUUUCUUUUCUUUUUUCUUUUAAUGCUUUUUAUUAAGUUUUCAUUUCAAAUACACCAACACCAACAAAAAUACACAAAUCUUUCAAAUCUUUUUACAUCUGUCUUACUUUACUCUCUGUAGGGCAGUUGACUUCCCUCCUUCCCUUCUUCAGGUUUUCUUAUUCCAUUCCCUAAUUCACAGUUCCUUAAUAAUAACUAAACCAUGACAUAAGAUUUAUUUCAGUCCUGAUAACGUCUUCAAAUUUCUCCAGUUCUCACUUAUAUAGACCAUAAAUUUACUCCAUUCUUUUUGGUGCUUUGUUUCCUCCUGACUACGAAUCCUAUGGGUCAGUUUUGCUAAUUCCGCGUACUCGGCCAACUUUGUCUGUCACUCCUUCACAGCUGGUAUCUCCUGUGUUUUCCAUUUUUGGGCUAUCAAAACUCUGGCAGCUGUCAUAGCAUACAUAUAUAAUCUUUGGUCCAUCUUCUUAAUAUCCUCUCCUAUCAAACCUAGCAAUAGUUCUUCAGGCUUUUUUGGGAAUGUAUAUUUAAGCAUCUUUUUAAAUUCAUUAUAGUUCAGUUCCCAAAACUCUUUCAUUUUAUCACAUGUCCACCACAUGUGGUAAAAAUCACCAUCCUUUUCUUUACAUUUCCAACAGAUUUUACUACUUGUCCUAGGAGGUCCUAGGUUUCAAUUCACCAAUAUCUCCGAGUAGGUCCAGGAGACAACAUUGCUUGAAAUGCCAGAGAGCAGUGUAGACAAUACUGAGGUAAAUGGAUCACUUUGAUGCAAAAUCACUUUUCUUACGACUGUUUCUUCACAUCUUCAGAACUCAGACCCAGGAGUGUUGAAAGAGGUUCUGGAGUUGGCUGGUUCAUAUUAAGCACCAAUGGGAAAGGAAGGGGAGGAAGGGGAAGUGGAGAGCUUGAAAAGUGAGGGAGCACGGGAGAAAAGAUUGAAUGAAAAUGAGCUGAGGAGGAAAGGGGUCAGGGUCUAAGAAGGAUGUGUAAAACUACAAGUUGUGAAGAAAAGUUGUGGGUGUAGUAGGAUGGAGCAAGGGGGUGGAGUUGUGGUGGGAAAUGGUAGACUAGGCCUUGCCGUCAGUGGCACAUAAAAGAACAAGUUAAAAAUUAAAUUGUUUUCUGUCUUCUUCACUAGUUGUGUCAGUCAGGCCCAGUUUGCUAGCAGUGAGUGGUUGCCUACAAAUAACACAGCAGCCCAUUGCUAGCUACUGUCAAAUUAUAUUUCCAAUGACAUGCUAUUAAUGCCUUUUUUUGGUAAGCUAACUGGUUUGGAAUACCAUCAUUUGAGAGUGAGAUAUUUCAAUCACGUUGGGGACUUUUCUAAAAAAAGCAAUCCUGAACUGGCAAAGAAACAGAUUAGAUGACCUUCUAGGUCUUUCUCAUGUAUAAGAGUUAUACUUUUUCUUUUUAAAAAAACCAGUGUUCCAUUUGCUUUUAUUCUGCUUUUAUUUUGAUAUGUAAUGAUCAGAUUUUCACCGGAUUAUUUGCUUGAAGGGCUGUAGAACAAUUGCCUUGCCUGUUAAGAGUAUUACUAUGGGGCCGAAUUUCCUCAGAAUUUUUUAAUGUCUUCCUGUCGCCAUUGAAAGCGAUGAGGUUGACCUUGGAAAUCAGAUUGCUCAUUGAAAAACAGAAUAGGUGACAUGAGGAGCUAAUGUCUAUAAAUGUUGUUGAAUGGAUGACCUUUUGAUAAGACAACAUGUGAUUUAAAACAUGAAACUUUUUUUACACUGAAUCAGAUUAUCUGUAGUCUAGUAAUAUUUAUUCUGAGUACCACCAACAGCACUUAUCCAGGUUAAGCUCCCUUUAAGGAGGUCAUUGGAGACUUAUGGCAUUUUGUAAUAUUUGCAUUUAUUUCCAAGUGCACAGAUUGGGCAUAAUUGGAGGCACAGCCUAAACAUGCCACCUAUUGGCUCCUUGCACAAUUUAGAACCUUGAUUGUAUUUUUGUGAGGGUGAAUGCUCAGAUAGAGUUUGUGUGAGUAUCAGUUAAACCUAUGGUUGAGAGCCCAAGACUGCCUCUCUUUCUGAAGCACCAAAUGCCUUUUCUGAGAAGCCAGCAAGCCACAGAGGGCCUGUUCAGAUGCACAGUUCUGAUAUGAAAAAGCCACACCAAAGGGUGCCUCCAGACCAUGGGUAGGCAAACUGAUGCCCGGGGGCCGGAUCCAGCCCAAUCACCUUCUAAAUCCGGCCUGCGGACGAUCCGGGAAUCAGUGUGUUUUUACAUGAGUAGAAUAUGUCCUUUUAUUUAAAAUGCAUCUCUGGGUUAUUUGUGGGCCAUAGGAAUUCGUUCAUCCCCCCAAAAAAAUAUAGUCUGGCCCCCCACAAGGUCUGAGGUACAGACCCUUGCUGAAAAAGUGCUGACCCCUGCUCCAGACUGUUGCUAUUUUGCAGGAGGGAUCCAAGAACUUCACAUUGGCACAGCAAAAGUGGACUGAAGUGCUCUGUUGCCUUAGCACAACAAAUCCACUUUAGAAAAUAAACACACUGAACAGUGUGGAAUGGACAAAUGGUUCAUGGGAAGUAAUGUAAACUCCCCAUAAGCAAAUCAGGAUGAAUACAGAAUGCAUUGUCAUAUAACCAAAUCAUAAAGAAUGCGGAAUAAAGACUGGGCAGUCCAACCACUGUGUGAAAGACGUCAAUCAUCUGAUCUCAAGUUUUGUGCAAGCAAACCAUGACAAACCAUGGAGGAGUACAAAUUGAUCCCUUCCCUCACUGCUUUGGGAUGUGUGUGUGUGUGUGUGUGUGUGUGUGUGUGUGUGUGUGUGCAUGUACAGCAUAUGUUUGUUAGGUAAAAUAUAACACAAAAGGGAUAAAUACCCGGAACGUGUUUCAAAGCUAGUUUUUCUGUUUCAUAGCAUAGCUGGGAAAUUAAGACAACUGCACCAAGAGUACAUUUGUUGCUUUUAUUUGACAUCUUCAUUAGUUUAGAUUGGAAUGUAUCCGGAUUAUUAAACUGCCCUGCCAGCAAAAAUCACACUGAAAAGGGCUUGUAGUAUGUUGCAGAUCAGAGCUGUUUCCCCCUUAUGCAACCUACUUUAAAUGUACUAAAUUGUCUCCUAUAAUCAAGCUAUUAGAAUGGCAUUAAAAUAUAAUCUUCAUGAACAGCCUAGCAAUUUGUCAAACGUUGCAUUACCCUGCCUGACAUUUUAAUUUCCAAGUUCUUUAUUAGUAGAUUGGCCCCCUUGAUCACAAAUUACAUGAAAGAGUCUUCAUUCUUCAUGUUUGAAAUCAACAAAAAGAAGUCAGUCUUCUGACCUCAUUUUAAUCAGUGUAAAAAUAGAAUGGCUCUAUUAAAGUCCGUAGAAAGUUUAUCCAUAUCAGCAGCAAUGUAACCAAGAUCUGUAGCAUAUUGUCAUGAGUUUGGGGUGUUGAGAUGUAUGCCAGCAAAUAUUAGAAUUUAUUCAAGGCAUCUAAUGGAGGAAUGGGUUUCCCAAACCCAAAACUGACUGUGCAGGCAGUUUGAAACGGGCACUAAAAUCCCUAUUUUUCCUUAGCUAAAAUCCAUUAACUUGAGCUCUGAGUCAAUGUAUAAACAAAAACCCGGCUGUAUAAACAAGUGCUCAGAGCCCUCUCCUUUAUCAGUUCGUGACGGCAAGGAUGACCUUGGCUGUUUCAGUGGAGUAGUGAUGACAUGUCUAGGUCUUAUCUUAUGUCCUGAUGCAAAGACCUAGUCCGGGAACAGCGCCAGAGUGUUUUCUUGGAGUUGGUGACCUCUUGCUCCAAGAUAAGAGUAGGAACAGGAAUACCCUUUUAUGGUCAGAAGUACAGGAAGGAAUACCCUUUUAUGGUUAAGAAUCCCGGAGCAGGAACAUAUGUGAUGUCAACCUGCGUGUAUAGGCUGACGUGGUUGGAUUCCUGGGGAAGGAGGGAGAGGGUGCCUGGAGGAUAUAUAUACUACAUGAAAUUUCUCAUUUCUUUGGACUUGCUGUGGACACACCACGCAGGUGCCUUUCUGCUGUUCCUGAGAGCAGAAAUAAAGAACUCUUUCUCUGAACCAACACUCGGUGUCAUUUGACUUCCUUCCUCCUGUCCGGGAGCAACGCAGACCGAAUCGGUGAACUCCAAUAAGACUACACUAAUUCUUGGAAUGGCCAGGUUAGCCUCGUGAUGAGGUGAUAGCCUGGGUGAUGGGCCAUUAGGGAGGAUUAAGGAGCUCAGUGCAAGACAGAAAAUGGGUGGGUCCCCUCCUUCAAUAGAUAAAGCCAGAGUUUAGAGUAGAGAGUUUUUGGGGAGUUAUGUGAGCUAGAAGGAAUGCAGCAAGCUGGAGGGCGGGAGAGCAAUGUUUGAGAGCAAUGUUGGAUUUCAAUUUGAAUUCAAGGCUGCAGAUAUGGGAGAAACAAGACCCCUUUGGGGUGGUAAUGCUUUGAACCCCUCCAUCACAGGCUGUGGUUCAAUAUGUGUGUAAAUAAACAAUAGAUUACAAGACUACUGCUCUUAACCACUACACCAAACUGGCGUAUUUCCGUGUGCUCUGGUUUUUUUAAAAAAAUUCCACAUGAGAUUCUGGCAGCACUACCAAGGAGUCUGGACAUUUUGUUGCUGUUGUAUCUUCCCUUUUGGUUUCUUUGCUUCUGUUAUAAUUUUGUAAAACACCUCCUUCUUCGGGUCACUCAUGCAACCGGAGGGAGCAAUUGGUUUCUGUAUAGUGUGUUGUUGUUGAAUGGAACACAGACAGAGCCACCUAACUGCUGUGGACUUAAUGAAACGAAACAGCACAAAUGAGCACCUGAAACAGCAAUAAAAGCUGCACAGAAGAUCACCAGCAGGGCAUCAUCUUUAUGACGGUCCCAAGGCCUGGCAGGAUAGAAAGGUUGAAAAAAAUAUAUGAUAGAAAAGGCCUGACAGGGAGAGAAUUCCACAGGGAAAGAGCCACCAUAUAUUUUAUUUUUAUUUUUUAACUUUUGAAGACAAAGGCAUCUAGAAGAAGGCAACACAUGAAGCUCAACGUGAUGGAAUUCAUGUGGGAGGAGAUAACUUGGCCCAUUUAGUGCUUUGACAUACAGUGGUACCUCGGGUUAAGUACUUAAUUCGUUCCGGAGGUCUGUUCUUAACCUGAAACUGUUCUUAACCUGAAGCACCACUUUAGCUAAUGGGGCCUGCUGUUGCUGUGGCACGAUUUCUGUUCUCAUCCUGAAGCAAAGUUCUUAACCCGAGGUACUAUUUCUGGGUUAGCAGAGUCUGUAACCUGAAGCGUAUGUAACCUGAAGCGUAUGUAACCCGAGGUACCACUGUACACCUGGAAAGUAACUUACGACCACAGAUAUGUGUUUUGUAGGGGGAAGGACCAUAGUUCAGUGGCUGCGCAUCUGCGUCACAUGCAGAAGAUUCCAGGUUCAAUACCUUGCAUCUUCAGGUAGGGCUGGGGAAGACUCCUGAUUAAAAUCGUGGAGAGCUGAUGCCAUUCACUGUAGACAGGACCGAGUCAGAGGGACCCGAGGUCUGACAUGGUAUAAAGCAACAUUCUCUGUUCCUGUCGAUUAUUCCACCUUUCCAUUUUUAAUCAUCCAGGGCUACUUAGAGAUGAGAUGAGAGCCAGUGAGGUGUAGCGAUUAGAGCGUCAGGCUAGGACCUGUGACACCAGGGUUCAAAUCCCCACUUGGCCAGCAAGCUCACGGGGUCACCCUAGGCCAGUCAUUUUCUCUCAGUCUGACCUACAAGGUUGUUGUGAGAAUUACAUGAGCAGGGGGAGAAGAACCAUGUAGGCCACCUUGAGCUUCUUGGAGAAAAUAUAAAUGCAAUAAAUAAAUAAUAUUAAAAACAAAUAAGCAAUACAAUUAAAAAUACUAAAUGUGCUGUUCACUGGCUGUUUCAAAACAGCUCUCAAAGACAGCCCAGCACAGAGGCAUCGCUUGUAAUAAAGCCUGGUGGUUGUUGCCAGGGCAUGGAUAUGAGGGGUGAAAUCCCAGCUGGCACACCAGAAUGAAAGAUCUUCCUGGUCAUGCCCACCAGCUGAGCAUUCUGGGACAAAACAAAACCCGGACGCACCCCAAGCUGUGAACUGGAGCACUUUAAGAAGAGUAAUAUGCAUUGGGCUCACCUUGGCUAACAGACUGUACAGAUAGCAUUCGACUUUGUUCUUCAGCUGUGAUAAGAAUUUUAAGGUCUUAGAUAUAUAAUAAAUUUACCAACCAAGCACGUACAUAGAUCAGCACAGGAAGACCGACCUGAAACCAUUUUUGAUUCCCAAACUGACCAAAUGUUUUCUCUGCAAGGUCAAAGGAAAAUGGAAAAGCCUCCCCAUUGUCUUUUCCUUCACAAAUCCUGUCUUAAGGGUAUGUCUGUGUUUGAAUAGGGUGAGCCUGUGACCUGUCUCAGGAACUUAGUAUUUAUCAUUACAAAAGACUGGCCAGGCUCCCCAGGGUAUCCAAUCAAGUGACCAUUAACAGGUAACCUGCCAGACAGGAGAUAAACAACGCACUCAGAUUUCUGCUGUAGACCGCCUUUUCUGUGAUGUAGGUAUGAUGUAUCUGGGGGGUGGUCUUGGGUUACACCCCUUCUGUGAUGUAUGUAUGAUGUAUGGAGGGGUCUUGAGCUCCAGGGCACGGAAUUUAAAAUGUCUAUAUAAGGGCAGACACAUCUUUGUUCUGGGUUCCUCCUCCUUUCCUGCGUGUGAGGGGACCACCCUGUUGCAGCAGUUAAUAAAGAUCAGGCUUACUAGCUGCUUUGCUUCUCAGUAUGCUGUGGUUGGCCUCUGUUAUUUUCUCCUACCAAUAGGGAACCUACGUAAGGACUCUAUAUGGGCUCUUGGAUACCCCAUGAGGGAAAAAGGGUAGAUUUUGUUUACAACACAACUUUGGGUCCCCCAGUAUUGUUGCAUUGCAACUCCUAUCAUUCCUGCCCAUUGGCUAAGAUGGAUGAAGAUGAUGGGAGUUGUAGUACAACAACAUCUGGGGACCCAAGGAUGAAGAACACUGAUUUGUACUAUUCUUGGAUAACAGAUGAUACCCAUGGCAGAGUGAGUACAGUGAGUACAGUGAGUACAGAAAUAGUGCUUCAGGUUAAGAACUUUGCUUCGGGAUGAGAACAGAAAUCGCGCAGCGGCAGGAGGCCCCAUUAGCUAAAGUGGUACCUCAGGUUAAGAACAGUUUCAGGUUAAGUACGGACCUCCGGAACGAAUUAAGUACUUAACCCGAGGUACCACUGUAUAUCAGGAAAGGGCUGGGUAUUUCCUAUUUUGCAAAUUCUGCUGGUUCUUGACUACAUGUUAUGAAGCUUCUUUCACACCCAACUCAAACAAGUUUCCUGACAUGUGGAACAUGGAAUAAAUAAUUGGGACAUGAUCUGAACCUUGCCCCCUGACAAGGCGUUCUUUUAUGAUGACUGUGAUGGAAAGUUUUAUGGCUGUUAAGUACUGGUAGUUUCUCACGAGAGCACUUUCUCCAUUGCAAAAAUAAUGUAAAUUAAUCGUGUUUCCUUCUCACACUUCUGUGGUGUUGGAAGAAACCUUUUAAAGUGUGAAGGAGAGCAUGUGUUUAGGAAAUUGCCUGCCAAACUCAAGAAGAGGCAGGAAAUGACAGCUCUUCUAUGCACUAAUGCUAUUGCUUGUACAAAGGCACAGACUGAAAUGCAAUUCAAACUGAAAGAACCUAUCCUGAUUGUCAACAGUACUUUGCAUUCAUGCAUCUCCCUGCUGUGGCAGAAGUAAUGCAAAGGCAUUAGUUUUUAAAAGCAAACAGAUAGUCCCCAAAAAGUGAGAUUAUAUUGGUUUCUCCCCCUCUUAUUUGCAGACUUGAACUCAUUUUUAAACUUCUUUGCUCCCCAGUAUGAUCAACAUUUACUUAGGAGACACAGCUGGAAUAUUUUAUAUAGUUAUAGAAUGGAUCAUCCUAAACGUAGACUUUUUCCGGAAACCAGCCUCCAGAAAUCUCUCUCUAAACAAGUUGAAUUUUGGGCUUUUUCACCCAGAGAUCUUAGAAAAGGUCAAAACUGCAAAAGUAACACACUGGUAGGAAAUAGAAUUUGUAAAUCACAAUCCAGAAUUCUCAGCCUACAAUCCUAACACCAUUUACCGGGAAUAAAUCCCAUUGACUUUGAUAGGACUUACUCCUGAGCACACAUGGUUAGGAUUUUGCUAUAGGAAAGGAACCAGUGAAUUAAAGUUUUAGGCAAUGGCGUAUUGCCCCUACACAGUCAUGAUCAGUGGAAAUCCCCAGAACAUCAGUAUAGGUGCCAUCUAAAUCUUAUGUCAUUAAUUUGUCCACUGAUGUUAUUGAGACCGUAUGAAAUGAGCAUCUUGAGAGCCUAUUGGCAAUAGGCAGAACCUGUUGAGAUGCAGUAAGUCAAAACUUCUACUUCCAGUGAUUAAAAACACUUCCUUGCUGUCCCUAGAUGUUCAGACAUCAAGCCAGACCUUCACUCAAUACUUUAAGCUUCUGCCACUUCAGUAGUGCUCCUAAAAGUUCUGUAUUGAUUGUUAGAUUGUACUGUAAGAAGUGUUAACUGGUGAAUUUAGAGGUUCCCUUUAGCCGCAGGCUGUGUGCUGGACACUAUGCAAGCCUUGCAGCAUUUCUCUGAUGAAAACAGGGAUGUCCUAAGGAAAAGCAAGAUGUUCCAGGAUCAAAUCAGAAACUGGGACAGCUUCUGUAAAUCCGGGACUUUCCCUGGAAAAUAGAGACACUUGGACAGUCUGGCUAUGUUGUAUUAUUCUAAAACAAGCAAGUGAACAAAACCUUGUGCUAUAAUCUCCUUGACUAUAUCUAGCCAUAGUAGGCGUUGAUAGUAAGUGUAUUUCAUACUGUACUCCGAGUGUGCCAUGUUUCAACUAGUUUAUCAAGGUUAACAUUGUUAUUUUCUUUUGUUGUAUGUCAUAGAUUCCACAAUAAUAUUUUAACACCGUGAUCCAGAAUAGAGCUGAUUAUUGAAUGUUAAGACAGGUGCAAGUCUGUAUCAUAGCUAGAGUGGGUCAACAUUUAAAUUACAUAGAAUCACUUGAUGUGCAAUGUCAAUCACAGAAGAUGAACUGGCAUUUUGACCAGAAUUUCCAUCUGUACCAUGCAUUGGUUCCCAAUGUAAACGGGAAGAAUAAGAGCCAAACUGGUUCUGCUAUUAGAUAACCUACGUGGGGUUUUCAGGAGAUGGCAAGGUCAUGAUGGAGGAAGAAACAUUUUCUGGGUACUCAGCACUUUGCAGAACCAUGUGCUCAGUUGUAACCUAGUGCUCUGUGUAACCUAGGUAAAGGUAAAGGAACCCCUGACUGUUAGGUCCAGUCACGGACGACUCUGGGGUUGCGGCGCUCAUCUCGCUUUAUUGGCCGAGGGAGCCGGCGUACAGCUUCCGGGUCAUGUGGCCAGCAUGACUAAGCCGCUUCUGGCGAACCAGAGCAGAGCACGGAAACACCGUUUACCUUCCCGCUGGAGCGGUACCUAUUUAUCUACUUGCACUUUUUAUGUGCUUUCAGGAACAGGGACUGAGCAACAGGAGCUCACCCCAUCGUGGGGAUUCAAACUGCCAACCUUCUGAUUGGCAAACCCUAGGCUCUGUGGUUUAGACCACAGCGCCACCCGCGUCCCACCUGUGUAACCUAGCCAGGACCAAAUUACUGAGGCACUUUUUGAAAUUGCUGUUGUUUAACUCUGCCCUCAAUACAAAUUGCUCAGGGAACUCAAUGUGGUACCCUUUGCAUAAAUCACCUUUUGUACAGCCUUUUGGGGAAAUGGGGUAUAGGGAGAAAAGUCUUUAAUGGAUUACAUGUAGUAUAAUUAAAUGAGUAUCAGUUCAAUUCAAUUAAUGAAGAUGAUACUCGUAACAGGACACACAGUCAAGUUCACAUUGAUUUCCUUAUUGUCUUUGAAGGGAGUUCAAGAUCAUUGAUUCUUAUUGCCUCAUUAUGAAACUUUUACAUAUACAGUAUUUGAUCAUAUUAGCUGAACCAUUACAGAAGUUCAGUUAGCAUUUUAAACAGUGUUGGGGUAUAUUAGAGCAAAAUUAAUGACAGACAUGCAUUUGGGGUAACCUACUGAAAAUGUUUUAAUUCAGAACUAAGACUCCUAAUGUACAAAACAAACCUAACGAUUUUGUUUCAUUUUUCAUUAACCAAGCAUUUUUAAAAGAAUACGAUUGACUAAUAAAUUAUGUGUUAGACAUGCCCCAUAGAAAACAUAUUUACAUAUGGAAUUAUGUUUGACUUAGCUUAAGUAGAUGUUCUACAUCAUCUUCCACUGGAAGAACAGAUUUUCAGUAUUUAAACAUCAUACUGUAGAUGUCAUGCAAAAUGCCAUGUGAGGGGAUGAAUAGCCAGUUUGACCAUCAUCUCCAUAUCAUGACAGCGGGCAGCACUAGUGACCAGCAGCCUGCCUGGGUUGCCCAAUAAGAAUGCAAAAAGGAAUAUCCUAUGGAGUUAAGACAAAUACUAUACAGUAGCUAGCACAUUCUCUUCUCCCUGGCUGCAGCUCUUCAAAUCUCUUAAAGAGUAUAAUAGAGAGGUCUUUGCUCAUGCGAAUAGUAUAGAACUGUAAGGGGGAAAUUCCAUUUACUAAGGACUGAAAGAGACACAUUUGCUAUCAGCAUGCGUGCUUUGGAAACAUCUUGAAAGCAAACCAGAACUACCGGUACUUACUGUGUGGAGCCAACAACAUCAUGGUACAAAAUGCCCACACUCGCUCAGGGGGAAGCAAAACAUUAUGGCAGUCCUCUUUACAGUAAGCACGUCUAAUAGCUAUGAGCAAUGCUUUUUUUCUGGUGGGGACGCACAGGUACGCAUACCCCUAAACAUUUUGUGAAUCUAACAUUGGCCUCAUUGAGGGGCAGUAUUUCAAUAUGAGUAGGAAAAUGAGAGUAUCCCUAAACAUUUUUUUUAAGAAAAAAAGCACUGGUUAUGAGUAGGAAGAGGAGCAUAGUGUCAGUUCUGACAGCAAUCUGUUUUCAGCAACGUCCCAGCAGCAAUGUAAAAUUUGUGCCAAACCUGAGCCUUAUAUCUAUCAAAGAUGUGAGAUGAAACUCAGCUGUGUUUCAUCUCGAAGCUUGUACCCUUAAACUUCUAGUUGACAAAUGACUUUGCACUAAUAUUGAACAAUGCUGAUCAAUACUGGUUUUAAUUUUUUUUAAAUAUAUAUAUUUAUAUGCUGCUUUUCUGGGCAGUCCAGGUGGCCUACAAAACAAGAAAAAAUGUAAUAUCUCCUAUAUGACUCCAAUAAAAAAAUAUAACAUAUUCACAAAAUUCACAACACACACAUAUUCACAAAGGUAAAACAAAUUCCAGCCUCCAUCCGGAGAGUAGGACAAACAUUUCCUGAAGGAAGGCCAGUUGAGACAAAUGAGGUCACAUAUGUACCAAACAUUUAAAGCCUUCUGAUACCACUUUUAACAGUCAUGACCUCCCUCAAAAAAUUCUGGGAAAUGUAGUUUGUUAAAGCUGCUGGCCCCACAGACCAACAAUUCCUAGCACCUGUACCAAAUUGCAGUCCCCAAAUUCUCCAUGACUGUUAAAGUGGUAUAAGAGUGAGUUUAAUGUAUGGUGUGCAUGCAACUAGAGUCUUCUAGGCUUCCCAAAAGCCUGAAAUAUAACCACCCACCCAGUGGCGUAGCAUGAGUUGUCAGCACCCGGGGCAAGGCAAGUAAUUUGCACCCCCUAACCCGUGGAUUUUAGCACUGCGAGUGCAAGCGCGCCCCCCCAGAUGUUGCGCCCGGUGCGGCCAGCACCCCCCUGCACCCCCACGCUACGCCACUGCACCCACCCCAGCUGUACAGGAAGUUCCAAAGGAGUGGAGCCACCACAGAAAAGAUCCUCUCUCUUGUGGUCACCCACUUGACCAAUGUAGGAGGUCAUGGACCUCCAACUGAGAUCUAAGUGGGCAAGAUGGUAAAGUGCACAUGGUCCUUCAGACAGCUUGGAUCUGAACCACUUAGGGCUUGAAAACAGCAUUUUAAAUGGCUUGCACAAAACCAAAUUUCCCUUGUCAGCACAGUCUCCUAGAAUGAAAAAAUGUGGUUCAGGCUAGUUGGGUACACCUUGGGUACCAGGUGCAACCAUUUCCUGACCAGCCGGUCCCAGCCACUUGUGAUAAAUGAAGCAAGGCUCCAGGAAGUAACAGAAAGCAAUGUAGAAUGUCUUCAGCUUCUCCCAGGUGUGAUGGCAAUGUCUUUUAACUUCUGUCUAGAAGAUGCUGCUGUUCAUUGGCUACUGCAGAAACACUUUGGUGAUCGCUGAAUGGGCUAAAGUAGUGUCAAAGGGAUACCUUUCCAAAAUAACUGCUUGACCCCGGAACUCUUUGUGAACAGUGAAUAUGCUCAUCACUAGCAGCGAAGUAGUUCAAAUAAGUAUUUUAACAAAGGACAACCUUAUUAUAUCGUUCGUGAAAUGAGCUGAGGCAGCAGUAUCAGCUAAUAAUGAAGAUGAGAAGAUAUAUGCUGUUCUCAGAAGCAACUGCCGUUUGGAACUCGAUUUGAGAUGAGCCUAACGAAGCAAUUUUCCUUUGUGGGAUCUGGAGGAAACCAAAAUGUAAAAACACGACACAAUUUCAGUCAGCUUGAAUGGGAACACGAACGAUAUACAUGGGUUGCGUCUGAAUUGUCCCUCUUCUCCUGCCUAUAUUUUCCUUGGGCUUCUCUAAAUGAGCAAUAACGUGGCAGCUCCCCUUUAAUUGAGAUGGGUUGCAAAUUACUGCACCAAACAGAUGCUUUACAAUUACUAAUGAGAUUUCAAGACAUUCAAAAUGGAGGAAAAUAGCAUUCAUAUGCAAGCAUUAUUGGAAUGUUGAUUUUAACUACAGUUCUUUUUUUAAAAGUGCUAAUAGAGUACCUCAGGGUAGCUCAUGUUUUGCCCUCCAGAUGUUCUUGGCUCUAAAUCCCAUCAGCCCCAGUCAACAUGACCAAUGGUCAGGGAUGAUGGGAACUGUAGUCCAACAACAUCUGGAGGGCAUCACACCUCUUGAGUAAGUAAUGAGAGACAGAAGUCCCCUCUGGAAUUUAACUGUGCAACACCAUGCUCACAAGUUUCUGUACUGGAAAAUGGGGUUUUCAUUAUUACAGAGUAAGACAUGAACUAAAUUCAGUAAAGCUCAUUCCAGCCCAAUUUGAUUUCCAGUAAAGCCAUUUCUUCUUAUUUGCUCUGAUUCUAGUUUCUUAAACUUGUAUCUUAAGGCCUAGGUAUGUGUGAUGACAGAAGGCCUGUGUGUUUAAACCCAACCCUGCCACAGCAAUGUAGAAAGGAAAGGGUGAUUUAAGGAGUAAAAGGAAAAUAGUGCUAAAAAGGGCAGAACCUCUCCUAUCACCCCUAUUGCUCAUAUUGCCGCAGUCUGUCCUCCACCAUCACUUCUUUAUCCAGGUCCCAAUCCAAGAACAGGCAGGGGGAAAAGAUUUGGGGUGAGGAGCUGCUGAAGAAACGGGGUGAGUUUUAAACUCUUCCCCUGUGUACCUGUUUUGCUCCUUAAAAUCAGUCCUCUCCCCAUCACUUGUUGCAGGUCCAGGUUUAAAACACACAGAUCUGCUGCCAACUUGUCUCACUUGGCCCUUAGUAAAACUUGCUGAAGGAAUUCAGUCUCGUUCUUCCCUCAGAUAUAAUUAGACCCUGAUUUAAAGCAAAGCAAAUGACUUUGUGUUUUAUACAAGUACGCUUAAUUUGCAUAGCCCCUUUCUAAUGGUGUCUGAAUUACAGAGAGAAUGUUAUACUACUGGAAGUAUAAAAUGCACUUGUAUAAAUUCUCUUUUAUCUAUGAUUUUCUUCUUAAUUUAAGCAUCUGCUACAUUACCACCAUUCCUAUAUAAAUAUGGAGCUACAAAAUUCACUGUAGGGAGGGGGGGAAUCCCAGAGAUUUUAGUGUGGUGCAGUAAAAAGGUAGUUCAAGUGGUUAUAAUAAAAUAUAACAAAUUAAUAUAAUUGACUACUUCACUCUGGAUUUUCUUUUCUUUUCUCUUUUUGGCUGCUAAGAUGGCUAGGUACAAAGGAGAACAGAUAUCCUAAUGCCUUUAAUUCAUGCUUGUAUAGAAGACGGAAUCUCAGCAAGCUUUCACACAAAGCGUGUUCUCUUUCAUAGAGAGCACGUGUUGCGGUGGGAUCUGAACAGGCCACCCCUCUGUUGCUGGGCGGGUUAGUAUGGAUAACCAUCCGAAGUGAUUCGGUGGUUGGGUUACUGGGCAAAUGUUGGUGUUGCCAUUUAGGGGGACGGACCAAAGGUUAUAAAAUCAAGUCACGCAGCACUGACUGGUCUCUUUUGCUGCGUGCACCGGAUCACCCGCUCACCCUCCCUAAUCUAGGGCUAUUGCGUUGACCUUGCUAUGCUGGUCAUGGGGUCUUCUGCUUUGGGGGCAGGGGCCUGGUAGGAAUUUUGUCCAUUUGGCUGAUUGGCUGGUGCCAUUUGGUUUUUGCCUACUGCGUAGCAAAUCGUCACAACUUGUAAGGUUGCGGUUAGGCAUUGGUUAAAAAAUUGGUUGGUGGAGGGGUAUGGAUUUGGCUGUGCCUGCCCCUCCAAUGCUGCUGCUGCAAGGGAAUUCCGUUAAAGGAAUCCAGGGGCUUGCCAUUCUUUCAUCCGUACCCCUGAAUGGGGCUUAGGGCCACGCAAGCCCCUGGGAGCAUGUGGGGAGACGUGAGGGUCUGGUGCUCGGCUCCAUGCUCCCCCCAAUAUUGUUUUCCCUUACUGGCUUUUGCGGGAAUCCGGAAGUCAGUUCUGUCCUGAGGUGGGGGACAGAUAGUCAGAACCAAUGCCUAAGCAACCACUCACAUUUAUGUAUUUUAAUAAAGUUGUGGCCAAAAUUAUGCCAAAAACCCUAAACAAAAAUUAUGUGUGAAUUGUGAAUUAUUCAGGGGUGGUUUGGGGGACCUCGACACUCAAGUUGCAGCUGCUGACAUUUCCUUUUCCACACCUUUGUUAAAGAUUCAGAAGCCCUCCCCCUUUUAUGCAACCAGACUUCCCUGGUUGCACAUCAACUGCAGGGUUGAAGAAUUCAACAACAAGCAAACCACAACAAGAGUCCUGGGGCAAAAUACACAAGCCACAAGAUUUUGGAGACGUGCAAGUCUACAUUCCAGCUACCACUAGUGACUUGACCCAUAACUGUUCACCAUACCACACAGAUUACAGUUCUUAAAUACUCAAAUUGUGUGGGGAAAUGUUAGAGAGCAUAAUUAAAUCUAUACAACUAAUUCUUGAUUAAACAUCUCAAUUUUAGCCCCCAGUACGCAAGAACCCAGUCACACCAUAUUCCUUUUUGGCACCCAGCACAUUCACACACAGAAAACCCCUUUUUGUGGUCAUUCUUUACAAUAACUCAGAUCCUUUGGAUUAUGUUUGAUCUACCCAGCUUCCUAGUUGAAGUCCAGUCUAUUAAAAAAGGUAAAGGUCAAUGCUCAGUUACUCCCCACCAAGCUUUUGAGACAAAAUUCUUAACCUGAUAGCAUACUUACUAUUUAAUGGAGUUCACUGAAGAUAGGUCAUCUGGCAACAGCAGAAUCUGGAGAUAAAAGCAACACAACCAAUUAAUGCCUCUUGUCAUUGUCGUUGACAGAUCCCGCAUGGAAGGUCCUUAUGUUUUUUAACCAGUUCAUUGAAGGCAGCUAUCCAACAGGUCCAGCUUUUCUCACCUCGGUACUGAUCUUCAUCCCUUUAACCCCCACAAGGGAUCAGACAACUGUAGUCUCAUGACCAAAGAAGUCAGAUCUGCCACUGAGCUCGAAAGGCAACAGAAACUUCCUUCCCCUAUGAGAGCUGAUAUAGUUCAUUCUGUCCAAGGCUUAUAAAGUAGCAACUAAGAUGUUUCUUACCGCAUCCAUGUUUGAGAUCUUGAGCAGAGCAUUUAAGAGUCCCAUAGUAGCACUGACACAACUGACAUCCUUCUUGAAUCCACUCCUCGUGCUUGAUGGCACCACAACUCCUAAUAAAUAAAUCACAACACAUUUUGUAAACUAGAGUUUGUGUGGAGAUGCUUCUGUUCCCAAACCGAUAUCCAGCUAUAUUAUAAAAUUACAAAUGAUAUAUUCUUUUAUUUAUUCUAGAAUAAGGUGCUGGUUUUGACCUUUAAAGUCCUAGGAGCCUCAUACUUACAGGACCGCCUCUCCUGGUAUGUUCCACAGAGGACCUUAAGGUCCAUGAAUAAUAAUAGCUUAAAGGUCCCGGGCCCUAAGGAAGCCAGACUAUCCUCCACCAGAGCCAGGGCUUUUUCAGUGAUGGCUCUGACCUGGUGGAAUGCUCUGUCCCACGAGACUAGGGCUCUGCAGAACUUGAUUUCCUUCCACAGGGCCUGUAAGACAGAGCUAUUCCGCCUGGCCUUCAAUUUGAAUUUGCCUGAUCCUCUUUUUCCUUUCGUCUUCUAUGAAGAAACCCUUUCUGGGACCCCACAUUUAAAUUCUUCCCUGGUCUCCUUGCUGGCCCUAGUAGGAACAACUUGGCCAGUAAGCCCUGGCGAUCAUUCAAUGUCUACUGACUGGGUUUUUUGUUUUCAAAAUGACCCCUGAAUUUUUGAAUUUUAUUGAUAUUGAUGCUGCACUUUAUGUUGUAUUCUGUGCUGUUUUAUGCUGUUUUUAAGUUGCAUUUUAAUCAAUGUUUUAUAUUUGCUGUUAGCUGCCCUGAGCCUGGUUUUUAAACCGAGAAGGGCAGGGUAUAAAUAAAUUUAUUAUUAUUUAUUAUUUUAUUAUUAUUAUUAUUAUACAGGAACAGGCAUUUUCCUCUUCAGAAGUACUUAUUUGGGAAACUUUGGAACUGAUGUAGAUCUUGCCGAAAUAAGUCACAGCCAGCCAUUAUUUUCCUGCCCACAGAAUGGUAAUGCCACAUCAACUCUUAAAAUGCCCCGUGAAGGGAGAUCUAUAUGAUCUCUGCAGAAUGACCUAUGACUGCACUAAGUGAAACUCUCGAUGGGUGCUUCUAACACUAUCCUUUAAAACUUCAAGAAUUCAGAGGCACCACCUGCCUUUACAUACCUGAUCCUUGUAUCAUAUUCACAGUGUCUUCCAGUGAAGUGUUUGGGGCAUAUGCAAAAAGUUCCCAGGAAGCAAGUUCCUCCAUUUUGACAGCACUGCCUGUUCACUUUGUUACCUGGUGUCAAAGGACGGGGGAGGGGGGGAGGAGAAUGAAAUUGGUUAUCUAGGUCUCUGUUACCAGACUACCUGAUGUUGUUUAGUCGUGUCCGACUCUUCAUGACCCCAUGGACCAGAGCACGCCAGGCACUCCUGUCUUCCACUGCCUCCCACAGUUUGGUCAAACUCAUAUUGGUAGCUUCAAGAACACUGUCCAACCAUCUCGUCCUCUGUCGCCCCCUUCUCCUUGUGCCCUCAAUCUUUCCCAACAUCAGGGUCUUUUCCGGGGAGUCUUCUCUUCCCAUAUGGUGGCCAAAGUAUUGGAGCCUCAGCUUCAGGAUCUGUCCUUCCAGUGAGCACUCAGGGCUGAUUUCCUUAAGAAUGGAUGCGUUUGAUCUUCUUGCAGUCCAUGGGACUCUCAAGAGUCUCCUCCAGCACCAUAAUUCAAAAGCAUCAAUUCUCUGGCGAUCAGCCUUCUUUAUGAUCCAGCUCUCACUUCCAUACAUCACUACUGGGGAAACCAUAGCUUUAACUAUACAGACCUUUGUUGGCAAGGUGACUACCUCAUAUUGCUUCAAAAUUUAAUGCUGAACAGCUAAGUGCUGUAAAGAAUCCACCACGUUUCCCAUGAAGAUUGGAGUUAAGCUAGGGUCUUUAUUAUAAACAGAAGAUGGAUUGUGGACACUGAUUUUCAAUCAUUUUAGUAUGACUUCUGCACCAUGGAAUUAGCUCACUUUGUGGUGGUUGAGACGCAAGCAGUUUUUGUAUUGUUUGUAGCUUUAUUCCAUUUUAAACAAAAAGAAGGAUUUCUAGGCCCGUGCAUACUUAGACUAACAAUGCAUUAGAACAGUUAAGAAAGCAAUUAAGGUUUUCAGUGUCAAACAUUAAGUACAAGAAGGAAGUACAGUCAUACCUCGGGUUACAGACACUUCAGGUUGCAUUUUUUUGGGUUACGGACUGCCGAAACCCUUAAGUACCAGAAUGGGUUACUUCCGGGUUUCGGGGGCACGCAUGCGCAGAAGCGCUGAAUCGCAACCCGCAUGUGUGCAGAUGUGCCGCUGCGGGUUGUGAAUUUGCAUCCUGCACAGAUCACGUUCGCAACCCAAGUGUCUACUGGACAAGAAGCUAGAGAGAGAGAUAGAGAGAGACAGACAGACAGACAGAUAGCUACUUUAACAUUUCUUUAUUAUUUAAAAUGUUAGGGGGAAAUCCUAAGACCUGUUGUGCCAUAUAAUAAAUGUAUCCGAAAUGUGCUUAUUAUCUUCUGCUGCAACACAAGGCAGAAAUAACAGUUGCAAUGUUGCAGGCAGAUAUGUCAAUAUAUUAGUGUCAUUUGCCAUUGAUUGAAUACAUAUUCAUUUAGAAUGUUUACAUCCUACUUUAUAGCUCUGAGAAGCUCUUGCAGCAGCUGACAAAAUAUUUUAACAAUAAAAAUUGCGUUUAAGUCUCAUUCCAGGGAUAGAAAUAAUAUGGUGCCAGGAAUAUUCAGGUGAUGCUUUCUGCCUUUAUAUCUCUUCCCUGGCAUUGCCCUUUGACCUUCUGCUACAGUUUCCAUUGGUCUCCGCAGAGCAAGUCUUCCCUGGAUGGCAGUUGCCAGGCAACAGCUCCCACUGCUGUUCUCUCAGAUGAGGCAGUGGUGCUCAAUGGUUGGAGCUCAUCAUGUAUAGCACUGUGGUAAGUGCUGACCCUAAUUAUAAGUGCUAUCACAAAUUAGACAUGCAAAUUCCAGCAAUGUUUCUUUACGACAAAUAUCUCUCUCUGUGCUAAUGGGGGGGGGGAGGGUAUUUAAUUGUAUGGCGAGGAUUACAAUAUAAUGAAUGUGAAUCACUUUAAAUGUUUCAAAGGCACAACAUACUUAAAUGUUUAUUUAGCUGACUGAGAACCAAAAUGUUAAGCUUUGAGGAAAUGUUAAGCUUUGGGUUUAAACCCCAUUAGUUGAUAAAUUCUACCUCUGUGACAUCAGAACCGUAAGGACAUCUUUCUCAGGAAGACCAUAGAGUACUUUGAAAAUUUAAAAGCUCAACUUACCAUCUGCGGCCAAAGGAGAGUUGCUUUUCUUUUUCUCCGAAUUAAGGUGAUUUAAAACAUUAAAUGUGUACAGAGGAAUAUUCAGCUUCUCCUGGCUUGAAUCCUUAUCACAGUUUUCUCCUUCACAGGCUUCAAAAGGAAGAAACGUGUCAAACUCACAGUAGGGGCUAAUCUGUCAUUUCUGCACAUGCAACCAUGAAGCAACAGUACACAAAGGUGACGUAUUUGUAUCAAGC